AAAUUGAAGAGUUUGAUCAUGGCUCAGAUUGAACGCUGGCGGCAGGCCUAACACAUGCAAGUCGAACGGUAACAGGAAACAGCUUGCUGUUUCGCUGACGAGUGGCGGACGGGUGAGUAAUGUCUGGGAAACUGCCUGAUGGAGGGGGAUAACUACUGGAAACGGUAGCUAAUACCGCAUAACGUCGCAAGACCAAAGAGGGGGACCUUCGGGCCUCUUGCCAUCGGAUGUGCCCAGAUGGGAUUAGCUUGUUGGUGGGGUAACGGCUCACCAAGGCGACGAUCCCUAGCUGGUCUGAGAGGAUGACCAGCCACACUGGAACUGAGACACGGUCCAGACUCCUACGGGAGGCAGCAGUGGGGAAUAUUGCACAAUGGGCGCAAGCCUGAUGCAGCCAUGCCGCGUGUAUGAAGAAGGCCUUCGGGUUGUAAAGUACUUUCAGCGGGGAGGAAGGGAGUAAAGUUAAUACCUUUGCUCAUUGACGUUACCCGCAGAAGAAGCACCGGCUAACUCCGUGCCAGCAGCCGCGGUAAUACGGAGGGUGCAAGCGUUAAUCGGAAUUACUGGGCGUAAAGCGCACGCAGGCGGUUUGUUAAGUCAGAUGUGAAAUCCCCGGGCUCAACCUGGGAACUGCAUCUGAUACUGGCAAGCUUGAGUCUCGUAGAGGGGGGUAGAAUUCCAGGUGUAGCGGUGAAAUGCGUAGAGAUCUGGAGGAAUACCGGUGGCGAAGGCGGCCCCCUGGACGAAGACUGACGCUCAGGUGCGAAAGCGUGGGGAGCAAACAGGAUUAGAUACCCUGGUAGUCCACGCCGUAAACGAUGUCGACUUGGAGGUUGUGCCCUUGAGGCGUGGCUUCCGGAGCUAACGCGUUAAGUCGACCGCCUGGGGAGUACGGCCGCAAGGUUAAAACUCAAAUGAAUUGACGGGGGCCCGCACAAGCGGUGGAGCAUGUGGUUUAAUUCGAUGCAACGCGAAGAACCUUACCUGGUCUUGACAUCCACGGAAGUUUUCAGAGAUGGAAUGUGCCUUCGGGAACCGUGAGACAGGUGCUGCAUGGCUGUCGUCAGCUCGUGUUGUGAAAUGUUGGGUUAAGUCCCGCAACGAGCGCAACCCUUAUCCUUUGUUGCCAGCGGUCCGGCCGGGAACUCAAAGGAGACUGCCAGUGAUAAACUGGAGGAAGGUGGGGAUGACGUCAAGUCAUCAUGGCCCUUACGACCAGGGCUACACACGUGCUACAAUGGCGCAUACAAAGAGAAGCGACCUCGCGAGAGCAAGCGGACCUCAUAAAGUGCGUCGUAGUCCGGAUUGGAGUCUGCAACUCGACUCCAUGAAGUCGGAAUCGCUAGUAAUCGUGGAUCAGAAUGCCACGGUGAAUACGUUCCCGGGCCUUGUACACACCGCCCGUCACACCAUGGGAGUGGGUUGCAAAAGAAGUAGGUAGCUUAACCUUCGGGAGGGCGCUUACCACUUUGUGAUUCAUGACUGGGGUGAAGUCGUAACAAGGUAACCGUAGGGGAACCUGCGGUUGGAUCACCUCCUUACCUUAAAGAAGC
rnacentral:rRNA from 1 species